rfam:Brachypodium distachyon strain Bd21 chromosome 1, whole genome shotgun sequence.
AACAUACUUUCUCCGUCCAACAAAAAAUGUCUCAAGUUUGUCAAAAUUUGGAUGUAUCUACAAAUGACUUAGUGUAUAGAUGCAUUCAAAUUUGGUCAAAAUUGAGACAUCCUUUGUUGCACGGAGGGAGUAUUAU